CUUAAUAGAGGUUCUAAGCAACUUGGAGAUAUAUAUAUGUAUAUAUAUGGAUAUUCACUUAACUAAAUAGCAGUAUUUUAAUUCAAAGAAGAAAAAUGAUAUUCCUGCCAUCCAAAUUCUGAGGGAUAUAUUUACCAUAACUUUGAGAUCUCAAGCAAAAAAGCAGCUCUUGUAACAGCACCACUGUUUUAAACCAUCUUACUGAAAACUGGACUAUGAGUUGCCUCAUCCUCUGGUCCACAGGGCAAGAGAUGUGGAAGGGCAUUUCUAUGAAGAUGGGUGUGUGAGUCAUAAGAACUGAUGUUUGAAGCUGGAGUCAUGCUAGCUGUCUCUACUCUGGAUCCCAAGUGACAGAGAGAACUGGCAUGAUGUAUCAAGAGGAUUACAACUCUGAGUCCCAGAUGAUGCCUGGAAGCCCAGAUUCCAUCGUGUUACUGAAAGAAUGAAGUUAGUACUUAUACACUGAGACAUGAAAAAGAAUAAACAACGAAG